rnacentral:rRNA from 1 species
AUUGAACGCUGGCGGCGUGCCUAACACAUGCAAGUCGAUCGGUAACAGGUGUAGCAAUACAUGCUGACGAGAGGCGGACGGGUGAGUAACGCUUGGGAAUCUGCCUAUUAGUGGGGGGACAACCCGGGGGAAACUCGGGCUAAUACCGCAUACGCUCUACGGAGGGAAAGCCGGGGACCGCAAGGCCUGGCGCUAAUAGAUGAGCCCAAGUCGGAUUAGCUAGUUGGUAGGGUAAUGGCCUACUAAGGCGACGAUCCGUAGCUGGUCUGAGAGGACGACCAGCCACACUGGGACUGAGACACGGCCCAGACUCCUACGGGAGGCAGCAUGGGGGAAUAUUGGACAAUGGGGGAAACCCGUACGGAGUACCAGCGACGCCG